AAGUCGUAACAAGGUUUCCGUAGGUGAACCUGCGGAAGGAUCAUUAACGUAUAAAAAUCCGACGGGCUUCGGGUCGCGCCUCACUCCGGCCUCGGCCGCGGAGCGGGCCGUCCGUUCCCGUACACCCUUAACAAACCCCACUGUGCACCUUCACGGCAGAGGGCGCAAGCCCAAAGCCGCAUACCCAUAAACUCCAGUUCUAAAGAAUGUCGAGCGGACCUCGUGCCGCCUCUAAUUUUGUAACAACUUUCAACAACGGAUCUCUUGGCUCUC
rnacentral:misc_RNA from 1 species